rnacentral:lncRNA from 1 species
AUCCUCCCUACAUCCACUUCUCAAGAUCACAUUUGAGUAUUCCAAUAUAAUCUUUAAGAUUACAACCUUUGCGUUUUUCUAGUUUACCCAACAACUUGGUGUUUUUAGGCUAACAUUAAACCUCUUUCAUUAGUGGUCUAAACUCUCACUAAGUCCCUUAACCCUUGGGUAUUAGAUAGUCACUCAACAACUAAUUCCUUAUGUUUUU